rnacentral:rRNA from 1 species
AUACGUAGGGAGCGAGCGUUGUCCGGAAUUACUGGGUGUAAAGGGUGCGUAGGCGGGACUGCAAGUCAGAUGUGAAAUGCCGGGGCUCAACCCCGGAGCUGCAUUUGAAACUGUGGUUCUUGAGUGAGGUAGAGGUAAGCGGAAUUCCUAGUGUAGCGGUGAAAUGCGUGGAUAUUAGGAGGAACAUCGGUGGCGAAGGCGGCUUUCUGGGCCUAUGCUGACGCUGAGGCACGAAAGCGUGGGGAGCAAACAGGAUUAGAUACCCUGGUAGUCCACGCUGUAAACGAGGAUGACUAGGUGUGGGGGGACUGACCCCUUCCGUGCCGCAGUUAACACAAUAAGUCAUCCACCUGGGGAGUACGGCCGCAAGGUUGAAACUCAAAUGAAUUGACGGGG